ACAGGCGGCGGUGCCGUGUGUUUUCCCCUUUCUUCUUCGCUAGUUCAUCUUCCUCAUCAGGUUGAAUCCCUGCUUGUAUCCCCACCCCUGUAACCAUACCACUGUAAUCGAGAGACCACCAGCGAGUACCUAACACGUGGUAUCAGUCGCCAUCCCGCCCCUCUUCCCCGCGCUGGAGACGCGCAAGCAAGGCGUCGAUCGCCAACGACUCCUCGCCACCAUGGAUCCGACGCUCAAGGCCUAUCUGGACAAGUUGCAGGAGAACAUGACACAAGGCCAACGACGACAUCCGCACCGAUAUCAAGCAGAUCGCGGGGCGGAUCGGCCACCAAUCCGCCCAGGUGGAUGAACUCACCGCUUGGAAACCCGAUCUGGAGGCGUGCCUCGCCGAGCUCCAGGCGUCGGUCGGUGCGCUGCAGGGCGAGCAGACAGCCAAGGCAAGUUUGCCAGCGAGUGGAUCGAAGGUGGUGGAUCUCUCCGAUCCAUCAUCUGGCGGUGUGAUCCACGGGCCCGAUGGUCACGGCAAGUCUCAUCUUCCACGAGGCGGGUUGUUGGUGGGUGGCGUCCCACCGACGACCUCUCCAGCCAAUAGUACGCCCAACUUCCACCUUCCUAUGCAAUCACGCCUGCUGGAUACUGCCCUGGCCCCCAAUUCCAAUUCCCAUCAAAUAGUCGCUGGGCUAGGAGCAACACCGCCAUCCAUUUUGUUUCCCCCAAUUUUCAGGUGAAAAUCCAAAAAUCUGGAAGACGAUGUGCGAACAAUAUUUUACUAUGUUCCAGAUUCAUGCAUCUUACUACGCUCCCAUGUCAAAAUUGCAUUUCACUAGACCAGCAGCGAUCUGGCUACAAUCGGUUCAAGGCAAAAUUGCCGAACUCGAUUGGGAAGCAUUCUACAUUCUCCUAUGUGCUUGUUUUGGGCGAGACCGUCAUCAAUUGCUGAUCUGUCAAUUUUAUUCAUUACGGCAAACUAGUUCUGUUGCAGAUUACAUUGAGCAGUUUGAAAAUUUGAUGAAUCAUUUAAUUUCCUAUUCUGAUGUUAUCCAUCCCUUGUAUUUCCUAACAAGGUUCGUGGAGGGACUGCGACAGGACAUCUGUGUCGUGGUCAUGGUUCAGAGGCCCAAGGAUCUUGACACAGCAUGUGCCUUGGCCAUUCUGCAAGAAGAAGUGGCCGAUGGGCAACGGGGGAGGGGGGGGCUGGUACAAUCAUUCAGAAGGAGUACCCCCUCCCCCCAACUCGCCUGCAGCAGGCUACACCCCUUCCAUUACCACCUCCACCUGCACCAGCGAGAACACCAACUAUAUCACCAGCAGUAGAUGAUCGCCGCGCAACGGAAGCAACUCUAGCAGGCAGCGAUGCAUCCAAACUCACUGCCCUGUGCAACUUUCUCCACACGAAGGAGUUGUGUUUCAAGUGUGGCGAACGUUGGGGGCAUGAUCAUGUGUGUCCACCAACGGUCAAACUGCAUGUCAUUGAGGACAUGCUCAGCCUAUUCAGUAUGGAGACGCCACUUGAAGAUACAGGGAACAUUUCUCAACCAGGCAGUAGGAUACAUCCGAGAAAGUGUGGCAGCUCUCCAACAACGCAGUUUCAGGUACAGAGGCACCCAACUAUUUGCAGUUGUACGGUUGGUUGCAAGGUCAGGAAGUGUUAAUGCUCGUGGAUUCUGGCAGCUCGGCAUAAUUUGUUUCUCAGAAUUUGCUACCCCGCUUGCAACGAGUAGAGGACAUGGCCAAGCUAGUGAAAGUAGCAGUUGCCAAUGGUUCUCAGUUGUGGUGUGACAAGGAAGUUUUGGAUUGCCCUUGGUACACACAGGACCAAGAAUUUGCUACUAACUUCAGGAUAUUUCCUUUGGGCACUUACGACGUCAUCUUGGGCAUGGACUGGCUGGAAUAUCACAGCCACAUGCUCAUUGAUUGGCCCAAGCGGUGUAUGCAAGUUGAACACGAGGGAUUCACAAUCAUCCUGCAAGGGAUCACAUCUUCAACCACUUCUUGUGAAUGCCUUAACAUCAUACAACUCGCGAGUAUGGAUAAGCAGUCGGCGGUGGCUUAUGUAGUUCAGUUGUGUUAUGUAGAGGAUUCAGAGAACCUAACUGACAUCCAAUACACUGAACUACCUCCUGAAAUUGCACAAGUUCUACUGGACUACGAGGAUGUGUUUCAGGAACCCACAGAGCUGCCUCCGAAACAAGAUUGUGAUCACACCAUUCCGCUGAUGCACGAAGCGCAGCCGGUAAACAUAUGAGCAUAUCACCACAAGCCAGAAUUGAAAACAGAAAUUGAACGGCAAGUAGCAGAAAUGUUGAAGGCAGGACUUAUUCAGAAAAGUAGCAACCCCUUUUCCUCCCCUAUCAUACUAGUCAGAAAAAAGGAUGGCACGUGGCGCAUGUGCAUCGACUACAGACGAUUGAAUGCAAUGAAAAUCAUCAGCAAAUACCCUGUUCCCGUGCUCGAAGACAUCUUGGAUGAAUUGGCAGGCGCCCGAUGGUUCUCUAAACUGGACCUUCGCUCAGAAUAUCAUCAAAUCUGCUUGGAAGAAGGCAGGAGUUCAAAAUAGCGUUCCAAAUGCAUGCAGGCCAUUUCGAAUACAAGGUAGUUCCCUUUGGCCUGGGAGGGGCCCCAACAACAUUUCUUGGAGCCAUAAAUGUCACAUUGCAUCCCUUUCUAUGAGUCUGCGCCAUGCACUUCUUCGACGACAUUCUAGUAUUCAGCAAAUCCCUUGAUGUGCAUGUUCAACACCUAUAGCAAGUACUAUCACUCCUCAGGCGAGAUCAGUGGUACGUCAAGCAAUCCAAGUGUGUUUUCGCACACCAGGAACUCAACUACCUCGGCCACACCAUUUCAGCUCAAGGGGUUUCCACGGAUCGUACCAAGAUCCAACAUGUGGCUGAUUGGCAUGUACCAUCUUGUGUCAAGGAUGUUCGAGCCUUUCUGGGACUUGCGGGGUAUUACAUGCGCUUUGUCCAGCAAUUUGGCAUGCUAGCUCGAGCUCUCACCAACCUGCUACACAAACAAGUACCUUUCCAGUGGACAGAGGCAACACAAUAUGCAUUUGAAGCUCUCAGACGAGCUCUGACCUCAGCCCUACCUUGGCACUUCCUGAUUACACGAAACCAUUGUUAUCGAGACAAGCGUUGCGAGUAUGGAGUAGCCGCGGUCCUACAGCAAGAGGGGCAUCCAAUCGCGUAUCUCAGCAAAGCAUUGGGCACACAGACCAAAGGGUUAUCGACAUAUGAAAAAGAAUAUCUCGUAAUUGUCCUAGCAGUCAAACAAUGGUGACCAUACCUUCAGUUUGGGGAGUUCUCGCUCAAGACUGAUCAACGCAGCUUGGUCCACUUGGGAACAACGCAUACACAACCCUUGGCAACAAAAAGCUUUUACCAAGCUGUUGGGACUGUAGUAUCACAUCUGUUAUUGCAAGGGUACGGAGAAUAGUGCUGCUGAUGCACUAUCGAGGUGACCUAUCUCUGCUCUGGAACAAUUAUAGGCAAUCUCAGUGUGCCAACUGGCAUGGCUGCAGGAAAUUGUCACGGGCUAUGAGGCUGACCCCAAAACACAACAAUUGAUCUCCUAGCUUGCUAUAGCACCCGUGGCCGGAGGAAACUUCACCAUCGGCAAGGGCAUAAUACGAUUCAAAGGUCGUGUAUGGUUGGGUAACAAUGCACACCUACAACAAAAGAUCAUGCAAACCUUGCAUGGAAGCGCUAUCGAAGGCCAUUCCGGGUUUCCUGCUACUUAUCGCCGGAUUAAACACCUGUUGCCUGGCCGAGAAUGAAACAACAGGUCAAGGAACAUGUGCAGUCAUGCCAAGUGUGUCAACAGGCCAAACCUGAUCGCGUGCAAUACCCUGGACUACUACACCCUCUGCCCGUUGCCAAAUGCUGCUGGGAUCUCGUUUCGAUGGAUUUCAUUGGAGGAUUACCAUAGUCCAGGCAAUAUAACUGCAUACUUGUCAUUAUGGACACUUUCUCCAAGUAGGCGCAUUUUCUUUCGGCCAAGCACCCUUAUACAGCACAGACCAUUGCACAAUUAUACAUUGGUCAAUUCUAAAAGCUCCAUGGUAUGCCAGAAGCAAUCAUUUUAGAUCGGGGUGCUGUUUUCACCAGCAAGGUCUGGCAAGAGAUUUUCAGGUUGUAAGGAGUGGAACUAAAGAUGAGCUUUUCCCACCAUCCGCAAACGAACAGGCAAACGGAGCGUGUUAACCAAUGCGUUGAGACAUAUCUACGCUGCUUCGUGCACAACACUCCAACAAAUUGGAGCAGAUGGUUGGCAUUGGCAGAAUUCUGGUACAAUUCAACAUACCACUCUACCUUGGGUAAGACUCCAUUCUUUGUGGUUUAUGGUCAAGAACCGCGACAGUUAGGCAUGGUGCCAGAACACGCAAACUCCCCAACCCGAGCUCAAUGAGUGUCUUGAGGAACGCCAAUAGAUGCAACACGCUCUACGACAGCACCUUGUUCAUGCCAAGCAAAUAAUGAAGAAUCAAGCUGACCAGCGACGAACCCCCUAGAGAAUUCCAAGUGGGUGAUCAGGUUUUCCUCAAACUAAAACCUUACAUUCAGACAUCUGUGGCCUGACGGGCCAACCACAAGCUCAACUUCAAUUUUUUGGGCCUUAUCCAAUCAUCCGAUGAGUGAAUGACGUCGCAUAUGAACUCCAACUACCUGAGGGAUCAUCCAUCUUCCCUGUUUUCCAUGUAUCACAACUUCACAAGGCGUUGACACCAUGUACAAGUGCUUCCUCGUCACUUCCAACCAUUGUUGACACUAUCAAUGUGCCUGUCAAGAUCCUGGACAAACGGUGGCGUCGCAGCUCCCACAAGGCGUGAGCAAGGCCUGGUACGUUGGCAGGAUAAUCAAGCUACUCCAGACACUUGGGAAGAUCUCGAAGACCUCCGGCGAUGUUUUCCUACUGCACCGACUUGGGGACAAGUCGUAUCUGAAGAAGGAGGGGGUGUUAGAGACCCAGCUGCACCUGGGCUAGCACAAGCCACGGUACCGAGCCGGCCCAGAGGAGAGAGGAGACCUUGCCACAAGUUUAUUGGACCCCAAUGGAUCUCCUACAUCUUCAGCCUAGAAGACCCAGAGACAGAGGGAUAUAAGGUAGGUAGCAGGUAGAGGGUGAUCCAUCCCGACUAGGAUCAGAACAGACGGCGGUGGCGUGUGUUUUCUGCUUUCUUCUUCGCUAGUUCAUCUUCCUCCUCGAGUUGAAACCCUUCUUGUAUCCCCACCCCUGUAACCAUACCACUGUAAUCGAGAGACCACCAGCAAGUAACUAACAACACGUUUGAUUGUGUGCAAAUACUCUUAGGUCUGCAUGACACAUUUCUUAAAGCACCUAUGGGUCUAGUGUUGGAGGCAUGCUUGAAUCGGCCCUUUUUCAGAGUUAGACCCAUGCGAUGUGAGGGGUCACACAUGGGUGGUGGAGGUUUUCCCUAAAAAAAUGGGUGGAGGAGGUUGCAUGUGUGGGGAAACCCCGUGUUGGUUCCUGAAGUGGCGCCUUAACACCCUUUUAUCACUAGUCUAUCUCCCUCCCCCCUAUCUCUUUCUCUCUCUCUCUCACUCACUCUCUCUCUCUCUCUCUCACACACACACACACACAUCUGCGGCGACCACAGAUCUGCACGGCGAGCACCGCUGGCCAUACAUUGGAGGCAAGCUCUAGACGGUGAUCACCGGCGGCGAGCACCAAAUCACCCCCCAUCCGCUUCAAUGACGAUUGAGAAUCUCGUCAUGGGAGGCAAUGACAAGGAGGGCAAGGAGGUCACCUUGUACAAGAAGGGCAAAGCGGUGGUGGAGAUUGGCAACGCCUCGAAGAGGGUUAAGAAAUAUGACAGCGUCGACCCAACAUACUUCUGCAAGAUCAUCUUUGGACCUCAAGUGGAGUAUCUACAGAUGCCCCUCCCUUCAGCAAGCACUUCGUCCCUGUCCCAAUGGAGUCCAGGUUGUCGACGAACAAUGGCUGCACUAACGCCAUAGCCCGGAUGAUCGCUGGCAGGCUCACCCUUGACAAUGAUUGGGCUGACUUCUGUGUAGCUCACGAGUGUUGAAAAUAUGCCCUGGAGGCAAUAAUAUUGUAUUAUUAUAUUUCAGUUAUUCACAGUUAAGAUUUUAUAUUCCAUGCUAUAACUGCUAUCAUCCUGGAAUAUGUGAUUCACUGGAAAUCUCAUAUGCACGUGUGGAAUGAUAAAUGGUAAACAAUAGAUUCC